rnacentral:rRNA from 1 species
AUUGAACGCUGGCGGCAUGCCUUACACAUGCAAGUCGAACGGCAGCACGGGAGCAAUCCUGGUGGCGAGUGGCGAACGGGUGAGUAAUAUAUCGGAACGUGCCCAGUAGUGGGGGAUAGCCCGGCGAAAGCCGGAUUAAUACCGCAUACGACCUGUGGGUGAAAGCGGGGGAUCGCAAGACCUCGCGCUAUUGGAGCGGCCGAUAUCAGAUUAGCUUGUUGGUGGGGUAAAAGCCCACCAAGGCGACGAUCUGUAGCUGGUCUGAGAGGACGACCAGCCACACUGGGACUGAGACACGGCCCAGACUCCUACGGGAGGCAGCAGUGGGGAAUUUUGGACAAUGGGGCGCAAGCCUGAUCCAGCCAUGCCGCGUGUGAGAAGAAGGCCU